rnacentral:lncRNA from 10 species
UACAGGGCUAGGAUUCCAUCUUGAGUCUGAAAUAACUGAGAUGGGUUAUGUAAGCAUAAAAACACAUUGUCAUCGUUUGCUUCAAAAGUUUGUUUGAAAUGUUUUAAAUCCUAGAAAAUCAGGGAAGUGUCAGCAAAAUCUAUAUUUGGUAUGGCAUCGGAAAAAUCACAAGAUUAGAGUCUUCUGUUGAAACGAGGACUGAAAACAUGGCUGUUAAGAGAAGUAUGUGCUGUCGUAAGAGCCUGCAGUGAAGGAGCUGGCCUUGAUGAAGCAGCAGAACGUGAAAUGCCAAAACAGAUGGAGUUGCUUGGAUACAAGGAGAAUCUUACAGAAUACAAAUGAACUUGAAGGCAUUAGUAAUAUUUUCAAAAUAAUAGAGAAAUGACACAAAGAGUGAAAGAGGUGAAAUCUGUCUUUGAUGGGAAUAAUAUCUAAAAGGAGUAUUGUACAUAUCUGCUGGCAGCUUUAAAAAAAUUAAUGAUUACUGAAAUUCAGAAAUGUCAACAGUAUGAAAUGAGCAAAAUUACUUCCCUAACAAGAUUUUAUAAGAGAUAAAGUAGUGGGAUAUUUCCUUGAAAUAAUGUUCAUCAUCAAUGCUGAAGUUUACAGAGGACAAAAAUAUGAAAUCAUGUGUUCAUAGACAGCCCCAGGACACACACAGUGGAUGCAUUGUGUUCUCCUGGGUUGCAUAACUACUUUGAAAGAAGUUUUCUUUUCUGUGUCAUAAAAGAAGACUUUUUGGCUCUGCCAGGAUACUCUACCAUUUGGCCCCAUAGACUUCAAGCAUGCCUGAAGAUACGUGCCAAUGGCUUGUUGGUUUUUGAAGAUCAUUCUGAUCUCUGCUGAGUUACCCAACUGGACUCAGAAGGGUCUGACCCACGUGCCACAUUCCAGCUGUUUGCUUGUUUGUUUUUAAUCUCAACCUAGUUUAAUGGGAAGAAGGUGAGUCACCUUGUGUGUAUGUCAGCUGAUAUUUAUGUCAUGGAAACUUAAAGGGGAUAGACUUGAAAUUGAAAAGAUAAGAUUGUGAUUGAAUGGGCCUUGUAUAAACUAUGUUUUGUUUUUGUUCUCUUGCUUACUUACCUUGUAAACAGAUUCCUUGAGUCUUAAACCAAGGAUCUUAAUCUUUGGUAUUUACAGAGCCUUUCUUCCAUGAAGCAGAGUUAUUUAGGAUGCUGCCAGCAAAUGAGCUCUCAACUGGAUCUGUCGUCAUCAUCAUAGAACUUACUAUGGUCUGGUAGUAUUCAAAGUGCUUACUUAAAUUAAUUUCUGGAAACAACCUCACACAUUUGACUCUAUGUAUUUUUCCACCUCAUGAUGAGGAAACAGACACAAAAAGGCCAAAUGAUUUUUUCAAGGACAUUCAGCUAGGAAAGGGCAAAGACAGGCACAGAUGAAGAAAUAAUCACAGGCACAAACGAGGUAUCUGUUAAUAGAGAUCCUAGGAAUCUGUGACUGUCAAUAUGAAUUACAAAUAUGAAAAUUAUUUGUUGAAUCAACAAAGUGGAAAUAAAACUAUUUUUUCUUAGCUGAUUUGGUAAUGACUAACAGUCAACAUACCUAUUAAGUGGUUUUGGUUGAAAUAAUUUAAUUUGUUGUCAAUACUAGUUCCCCCCUUUAAAUUUAAUGAUACAGUUCCAAUAUCUAGAUGAACAAAUAAAGAUAGGAGAAAGAAUUCUAUAUUUUAGUCAUUUCUGCUUAUGGCCUCAAUUUCAGAUUCCAGAAAUCCAUAGCUAAGUAGUUAUAAAGCAAUUACAGUUGUUAGAGUAGCCCAGGAUGGCUGGACAAAGUUGAAUAUUUCAUGACUAAAAACAACAACAGCCAGGCACAGUGGUUCACACCUAUAAUCAUAGCACUUUGGGUGGCUGGCUUAAGCCUGGAGUUCGAGACCAGCCUGGCAGUAAACUGAGACCUUGUCUCUAUAAAAGAUACAAAAAUUAGUUGGUGUGGUGGUGUCUGCUUGUAGUCCCAGCUACUUUGGAGGCUGAGAUGGGAGAAUCACCUGAGCCCAGGAGGUUGAGGUUGCAGUGAGCUGAAAUCGUGCCACUGCAUUCCGUCGCUGCACUCCAGCAGCCUGGGUGACAGAGCGAGACCCUAUCUCAAAACAAAACAAAGCAACCAAAUCAAUUCUCACUAAAAAUAAACAUACCUAAGACAUCAUCGUAUAUUUUAAAUUCUUUCUAAUUAAAGCAAUGUUACUAAAUAUAUUUUAAAGAGGCUUGUUAUAAAUGAAAUACUUACAAGGUCAUUGUACUGAAUUCAAAAUUUUUGUUAUAUGGAAGUUGUAGAACUUUGGGAUUAUGAAAUACUAACACAAGUAAAAAAUAUAAAGUCCAAUCUUUGAAAAGAAGAUACUUUGUCUUAGUCAGUUUGGGCUGCUACAACAAAAUACCAUGGAUGUGGUGGCUUCAACAACAGACAUUUAUUUUCUCACAGUUCUGGAGGCUGGGAAGUCUAAGAUCAAGGUACUGGCCGAUAUGGUUCUUGGUGAGGGCAUUCUUCCUACCUGAUAGAUAGUUACCUUUUUGCUGUGUGCUCAUAUGAUCUUUCCUCAGUACCUGAGCAUGGAGAGAGAGAAAGCUCCUGUGUUUCUUCAUUUCCUUUGAAAGACAUUAAUCCCAUCACGUAGUCCCCAACCUCAUGAUCUCAUCUAAGCCUAACUACCUCCCAAAGGCCCCACCUCCAAAUACCAUCAAGAUGGGGAUUAGGACUUCAACAUAUGAAUUUGGGAGUAACACAGUCAGUCCAUAGACACUUCUAGGAAAUCUUUUCCAUGUAGUCCAGAUGCAUCUAGCAUGCAAACCACAACAGGCUACAGAAGUGACUUGAGGGCAAGAAGAAAGAUCCUUCUUUCAGACCCUAAACUCAUCUUUCAUGGGCCCAGGAAGGAGCCCCCAGCAUGGAGGAUACCCAAAGACUGAACAAUAAUAUGAGGCUUGAGGCUCACAAAUAAACCUCAUUAAGAGAGAACUGGGAAAAAUCAGAGUCAGAGAAAGAAGGAAAAAAGGUAUGGCGGUGGGUAAUGGGAUUUGAGGUAGGAAAGGAAAUGGGAAGGAGCAGAGCACUAGGAGGGAAGGGGAGGCGAAGGGGGAAGGUCAAAGGAAGAGAGAGGGAAGAAGAUGACAAGAGCGAGCAUAGUUUCACUUUCUCAGCAUUAAAAUCCUGAAAUGGACACUCUAAAAAUAAAAACUACAGGAGGUGGGGAUUUUACCUGUAAAUAAUUUAAAAAUCACUGAGCUUCCUGCCAUGAUAGCGCAGGCUAUAGAUUCCAACAAUCUGAAGUGAUUUUAAACGUCCCUCUCUAGAGAAUAAGUAAUAACAUCCAUCUCCCCCAUAGAACAAAAUUCCCUUUCUUGAUGGAACUGAAUGGGGUCAGUGGCAUUUUUUUCUUGGAAUCUUCACCAGCCCAAACUAUAGACAUAAGCCAACUUUCACAGAGGCUAGAGAUUGUUAAGCUGUGGCUUGUCACCUAUAACCCAUUUUUAUAAAAUGUGAAUGAAGGCUACUAUAUUGUUAGUGGCCACCUGUGGACAUAAAGAAUUUAUAAGAGAAAAGUCAAUAAUGUCUUACCAUGUAAGCACAUCUGAAAUACUGAUAUGAUUUCAGCAUUAAGUAAACACUAAAGCAAAUUUGGUGACUAGUUGUAUGUGUGAUACACAUAUACAUAUGCAUGUAUGUAUACCAUUUAAAAAGAAACACCAAAAAAGUUUAAAAUACACUGAUUUUAUGACAGCUGAAGAGCUAAUUGUUGCUUUCCACUAUUAAAACUUGGUAAAUACCAAUAGGAGAGGAAUUGCUCAGCUUUAGGAAGGGGUAAUUAGGUUUAAUGGAACCAGUUGAGAAGAGGAACAUUAAGCCUGUUGGGAAAAAUUUCCUCCCAAUGAAAACUAUUAGAUAAUGGAAUCACUUUCCAAGAGAAAUGCCUGAAAUCCUAUCACUGAGGAUAUUUAGGAUUCAGCUGGACAUUACAAGACAUUCCAUGUCUCAGACUUUAUGCCCUUUUAUGUCCAAAAUAUGUUAGUAUUUUAUUUGAUGAAAUAUAUUCCAAUCCUUUCUUCAGGACUACAUAUAUAAAGAGACUGUAUAUGUGUAUAAAUAUGCAUAUAUAGUAUAAAUACAUACAUAUAUGUACUAUAUUUAGACUGUAUAUGUACAGUCCAAAUAUACACAUAAAUACACAUAUACAUAUACAUACGUACUAAAUAUACAUAUACAUAUGUACUAUACAUAUGUAGUCUAAAUAUAGUACAUAUGUGUAUAUGUGUAUGUAGAGAGAGAUAGGUAGAUAGGCAGGUAGGUAGAUUAAUUGAUAAAUAGAUAAAUAGAUAUAAGGGAGAGAAACAGAAAAAGAAUCUUAAGAUUCAAGGUUCUUUUCUGUUUGUUUUUAAACUUGCAGGUUACAAAUGAAAACACUAAAAACUGUGAUUGAUGAACAAUAAAGAAAUAUACUCAGAUAACAAGCACCUCCCUUUUUCUUGUUAUACUAAUUUCACCCUCAAGAGUCAGAAGCAACCAGGUUUGCAUUUAUUUUCAGUUAGUACUGGUUGCUUCUGAGAAUAAGCCCAACUAUUAAUCUGAAAUUCCAAUAAAAGCACCAAAAAAAAAAAACCUCAGAUGACAAAAAUUAAAAAUGUUCAGACUCUUAGUGAGAAUUUAAGGUUCAAUGACUUAUCUAACUUUUUCUUGUAAAAAGAACAAUCACUUUCAGAAAACCUAUGCCCGCAUGGAAUGAUGCAUCCACUUCCUCCUAAACAUAGAUCACAUUAUCAGUGUUGCCAAAUAUAUCAACAACAGCCUGACUGUUGAACACCAUGUUUAUCUAAUGGACCAUAACAGACAGCGAGAACAAGCACAGUUGGAGACAGCAAUCUCUAAAAGUAUUUCCAAACCAGCAUCAUUCUUUAUUUUUUUUCUUUCCUUUUUCAAUUAAGGGAAAGGGAGUUAUUAAGCAAGACAUACAAAAGCACUGUUAGGAUAGCUCCACUGAAACCAUUUCUUUCUGCUAAAAUGUAAAAUAAUUCUGGAGGGUCACAUUUUUAUGUAUUCACAUGAGAACUAGGACAGAGAAGAAGGAGGGCCGUGGAGUCAAGUUUACACUGGACACCUAAUCAAAUCUGUUGUGAAUUGCAUAGAGAAAAUUCCUAAGGACUCCAGAGAUAAAUUCUCAACUUUUCCCCUGUGCAGAGUGAAACAGUUCAAAGCUGAGGAUCAGGAUGGGACUGAGAGGGAUUUUAUUUAAAUACUUGUGAGAAAAAUAAUGCAAUUAUUCAAAAUGUUUAACAUGAUUUAAUUUCAGGAAUGAGACAAAUUUGUUAUAAAAUGUUGAGAAAAUACGGGUAAGUCAAAAGGAGAAAAUAAACCACAUAUAAUCCAAUAAUGCAGAGAUAAGUGCUAUUAAAAUUUUGGUUUAUAUUUUCCCAAUCUGAUAUGUCCUGAAACAGGUAUUUUAAAAACAAAAUAGAAUAUUUUGUAUAAUUUUGUGUAGUAAUAUUUUUCAAUACAUAUCAUAUUCUGCACAUUUUUCAUAACAAUAUUUUUCUAUAACACCGUUUAAAUUGCUAUUUGAUACUCUGUUACAUCAAGGCCCUCUAUUUAUUUUUCCAGCCCCAUAGUGUUGUUACCAAACCUUUGCUAUUAUUAAUAGUUCUGUGAUAUGUACUCUUACAUUGUACUUUUAUAUGUGACCAUAAAUAUUUCCUUAGAAUAACUUACUUGAAGUGUGUCAUAAAAUGAACAAAACUCCAAGACUUUGUAACAGAGUGAAAAUGCCCUUUAUAAUGUUUGUAAUAAUUUUCCUCUCUGCCCACAACAAUGUUUAUUGUGGUUUUGACAGAGUACCUUUUGUGUAUUUGUUUUUGUUUACUUGAACCUAUCAAUCUUCUUUUAUGGUUGCCUUCAUAAGUUAACAUUAAGAAAAUUGUCACUAUCUAAGAUUAAAUAAGUAAUAUAUAAAUAAGCUAUAUAAAUCAAAAAAAUUAAAAGAUGAACAUUUAUUUUCUUCAAGUGGCUUUAUACAUCUUUUUAAAAUAUAUAAUAUUUGCAUCGUUAUUUAUUUAUAAUUUAUGUUGAUAAAUAGUAUAAAACAAAAUAAGUUGUUACCGAACUUUCUCAAUACAUUUGUUAAAUAAGCCAUCUUGAUUUGCUGAUUUGAUUUUAUAGCACCGAUUUGAUGUGCUACCUCAUGAAAUUAUUAUAUGCACACUAUUCUUUAUUUAGUUGAAUCUGUAAAAUUAUUAUAACCACUUCUUUCAUGUGUCUCUAAAGAACCCAGGAGUCGCAAUUAUUUUACCUGUGCAGGAAGCAGUUAAAAUUGAUCAGCUUUUCAUCAUCUAUGUCUAUGUAUUCUCAAUUAUUAAAAAAAAACUUUAAAUAUUAAUCUUCCCUCAAAAAUCUUAAUCCAUGAAUAAGAAGAGUGUAGAAAUCAGUAAAUCAUAUCAAAAGGGUUUAUGCAGCAACCACACUAGGGUGAGGAACCA